CCUCUUAGCUCCUGAAUUCUUGUCAUCUGCAUGGAGAAUUCAGAUGAGACACACAGAACACAGCAUAAGAGACAGACUGUGUAGAGAACAGUGAAAUGCACUCAUGGACAGUGGCUAAAGAGACAGCUGUCUCCUCCAUUUAAGACCUCAAAAUGCUGAUUGCAUGGAAAACAGAGAGGCCUUCUUUGUGCUGUCAACUAAAAUACCCACACUCCAUCCUACUGACAGGCAGAACAUUUCCCACCAACGUGGUAGCCCAGGGCACUGAUAAUUCUCAAUGACAAGGUCCCCGGUAUGAUCACCCGCAGAGGCCGGGAUGCACAUUGUCUUCCUUCCAUUGUUUGAAGAUUGAGAGGAAAGUAAGGAAGAAGGCCAAAGAUGCUCAAGACUGUUGUCACUCAGAGCUGAACAUCCCGCAGAUAGAUGCAUCCUACAAAGAGCCCUUCCUCCACUGAAUAAGGAUCUCCCCAGCCCUAGGAUAGACUAGACAUCUACCCCUGUCACCAGCGUUUGAUUGCAGCCUCUGCUGGGAUCAGGUCUCCUGCAACUUUCAAUCAAGGGUCAAAAGGUCAAAUGAUCUACUUGUUCCUGAGUGAGCUCCUCACAUCUGUCCACGGAUCAACACACAGUGCCCUGAGAUGUCCUGCCCUGCCACAUCCCCUGCCUCCUCUCUACAUCUUAUUCCACGGACACACCAGUGCAGACCUCCACUACCAUGGAGCCUCCUGUUUGUCCCUCUCUCUGUUCCUGCCAUGGUAGACUGUCUCUCUGAAGACUGUGAGCCAAACAGACCUCUCUUCCUGUUAGUAGCCUCUUGUCAAUUCUUGUCAAUUUUUUUUGUCACAAUGGUGAGGAAACUAACCUAAUGCCACUAGACAUUUUCUUAGACCUUUCAAACACAUAGUGCCAGGAGUUAGGCUUAAUGUGAACUAUGGGCUCUGAGCAAUAAAAUGUGUACAUGUAAAUCCACCCAUGGCGACAAAUGUGCCAUGGGGUGGGCUGGUGUUAGGAACACUGGACCUACGUGUCCACAGUGAUUGACAGAAACUAGAAGAUUUGCCCCUUCAUUCUUCUCUGAACCUAAAACUACCUUUAAGUGAUGAAGCUUAUUAAUCUUUUUCAGUAGAGAGAAGACAAAUCAUCAGAGAAACUGAAGGAGGAGCUGCUCCUGACUCAUACUUUUCAGAGUUCUGCCACAGAGGGAGAGGAGUCACCUGCCUUGUCUGGGGAUCAGCAAAUCUGGAUUCUAUUUAUACAUUCCCUUUAACCUGUCUGCUCUCAGUUCUGUCUUCAUCCCAGAUUUAGAAAGAUCAGAUAUCUCCAGUGUUUCAGCCUUCCAAAUGCAAGCUGCUAAUUUGCUCUUCACAUUUACCUAUUUUUUUUUCUUCAGGGUUAAACUUUUUCAAGUCUGGAAAACUCAGUUAUCACGAGUCCACUGCCUUUGCUGAUUCCAGGUCUCUUGCAAUAUUCUUCAUUCCCAACCUGCUAGUUUCAUGAUCUAAUCCAUGUUUAAUAGUACAGUAGAAGAAAAUGAAGGUGACUGUCUAGCACACACAAUCUCAGCAUUCAAGGAAGAAGCACGUAGACCUCUGUGAGUUCAAGGUUAGCCUGGUCUACAUAGCAAACAAACAAAUAAAAUAAUA